CCUACGGGAGGCAGCAGUAGGGAAUCUUCCGCAAUGGACGAAAGUCUGACGGAGCAACGCCGCGUGAGCGAAGAAGGUCUUCGGAUCGUAAAGCUCUGUUGUCAGGGAAGAACAAGUAUCGUUCGAACAGGGCGGUACCUUGACGGUACCUGACGAGGAAGCCACGGCUAACUACGUGCCAGUAGCCGCGGUAAUACGUAGGUGGCAAGCGUUGUCCGGAAUUAUUGGGCGUAAAGCGCGCGCAGGCGGUUCCUUAAGUCUGAUGUGAAAUCUCGCGGCUCAACCGCAAGCGGCCAUUGUAAACUGGGGAACUUGAGUGCAGGAGAGGGGAGCGGAAUUCCACGUGUAGCGGUGGAAUGCGUAGAUAUGUGCAGGAACACAAGUGGCGAAGGCGGGCUCUCUGGCCUGUAACUGACGCUGAGGCGCGAAAGCGUGGGGAGCGAACAGGAUUAGAUACCCUGGUAGUCCACGCCGUAAACGAUGAGUGCUAAGUGUUAGAGGGUAUCCACCCUUUAGUGCUGCAGCAAACGCAUUAAGCACUCCGCCUGGGGAGUACGGCCGCAAGGCUGAAACUUAAAGGAAUUGACGG
rnacentral:rRNA from 1 species